CGCGUAGGUGGUAGUGUAAGUCUGGGGUGAAAUCCCAGGGCUUAACCCUGGAACUGCCUUGGAAACUGUAUUACUUGAGUCAGUGAGGGGAGGGUAGAAUUCCUGGUGUAGCGGUGAAAUGCGUAGAUAUCAGGAGGAAGGCCUGUGGCGAAGGCGGCCCUCUGGCGCUGGACUGACACUGAGGCGCGAAAGCGUGGGGAGCAAACAGGAUUAGAUACCCUGGUAGUCCACGCCCUAAACGGUGGGCACUAGGUGUAGGGCUCGUAAGGGUUCUGUGCCGAAGGGAAACCAUUAAGUGCCCCGCCUGGGGAGUACGGCCGCAAGGUUGAA
rnacentral:rRNA from 1 species